rnacentral:rRNA from 1 species
GACGAACGCUGGCGGCGUGCUUAACACAUGCAAGUCGAACGAAGUGGCGAACGGGUGAGUAAUACGUGGGUAACCUGCCCUCCUUUUUGGGAUAAGCCUUGGAAACGGGGUCUAAUACCGAAUAAAGGGGGAUGGGCUCGCGGCCUAUCAGCUUGUUGGUGGGGUGAUGGCCUGCGAAGGCGGUGACGGGUAGCCGGCGUGAGAGGGUGCCCGGCCACAGUGGGACUGAGAUACGGCCCAGACUCGGAAGGGGGGGAGAAGUUGGGGAUAUUGCACAAUGGGCGAAAGCCUGAUGCAGCGACGCCGCGUGGGGGAUGAGGGCUGUAAGGUUGUAAAGCUCUUUCGGUAGCGAAGGGGUAGGUGGAGAAGAAGCGCCGGCUAACUACGUGCCAGCCGCCGCGGUAAUUC